UGUCUCUGUACUUUCCACAACUCCCAGCCAGGAUUCCUUUGGCUGGUUUCCAAGUGCCUUUGACAAACCACCAGCUCAGGGUUCUUUCCCCCAACCACCACCCCCUAACCUCGUUGCCAGGCUACGAAAAUCCAGAGCGCUGCUUGAGAAAGGAAAGCCAAGGACAGAACAGAGCCCUGGGGAGGAGCUCAUGGUGGCCGAGCUGAAGGAGGCAGGGAAUUUCUGUCACCCAGAGCCCUGGCAGAGGCUGCCGCUGAGUGGAGCCAUCACUUGGUUGAGUUUCGCGGUGUCGCUGUACUUGGAAAGACAAUUUCCUUUUCAGCAGCGUUGGUGUGGGCUUUGGAUGAUCUCUCCUGGUUCUUCAUUUCUCUCUUUCUCAUGAAAGCCCUUCUCUUCUCGCCCAGAGGCCUCGAUGUCUAUAGGACUGCGCUUUGGGAAAGGUGUGUUCUUACAAUCGGCUCGUCCGUGCUCUUGUCCAGGAGUAGGAACAAGCGAAGUUUUGGAGCAUCUGAGGAUCAACACCGAUGCUUUAACAGCAGCGGGUCUCAAGAUGUGGUCUUGGACCAGCGUCACCCGGAGACUUGUGAGAAAUGCACAUCCUUGGCCCCACAGAGCUGUGGCCUCAGGUGGGGUGGGGCCUCGAAAACUGUUGUCACAAGCCCCCCAGGUGAUGGAUGCCCACUUGAGUUGAAGAACCAGAGCUCCUGGGGGAGAGGAGGAGGGGGCUAA
rnacentral:lncRNA from 10 species